rnacentral:tRNA from 1 species
GAGGUUGUGGCUCAGUGGUAGAGUGCAUGCCUAGCAUGUGUGAGGCACUGGGUUUGAUCCCCAGCAUCA